rnacentral:misc_RNA from 1 species
GUAGGUGAACCUGCGGAGGGAUCAUUAACAAUUACUCGAUGCCCCCCCGCGCUCCGAGCAAUCGUCGCUGCCGGGGGGCUGAAACGAAUAAUACCCACUGUUGUCCGACCGCGUUGCCUCGGGGGCGACCCUGCCUCUGGCUGGGUCCCCCCGGUGGACCAAACCAAACUCUUGCGUAACAUUGCAGUCUGAGUGAUUUAUUAAAUGAAUCAAAACUUUCAACAACGGAUCUCUUGGUUCUGGCAUCGAU